rnacentral:misc_RNA from 1 species
UUAAGUUCAGCGGGUAGUCCUACCUGAUUUGAGGCCAGAUCAUAAAAGGGGUUUAGUAGAGCAAGCUCUAUCUAAGAAUUAGAAGCGGAUCUAAAGACUUUCUUUAUCUCGGCCAUCCGUUAAGAUGUCCUCGGCGAAAUACUUAUCACGUCGAGUGGAACCGAUUACAAAAAGGAUCUGCUGAUUCAUUUCAAGCGAGC